rnacentral:rRNA from 1 species
AUUGAACGCUGGCGGCAGGCCUAACACAUGCAAGUCGAACGAGUGGCGGACGGGUGAGUAAUGUCUGGGCAACUGCCUGCUGGAGGGGGAUAACUACUGGAAACGGUAGCUCAUACCGCAUACCAUCAACUGUGCCCCGCUGGGAUGAGCUAGUUGGUGGGGUAAAGGCUAACCAAGGCGACGAUCCCUAGCUGGUAUGAGAGGCUGACCAGCCACACUGGAACUGAGACACGGUCCAGACUCCGACGUGAGGCAGCAGUUGGGAAUAUUGCACAAGGGGCGCAAGCCUGAUGCAGCCAGGCCGCGUGAAUGAAGAAGGCCUUCGGUUGGUAAAGUACUGUCAGCGGGGAGGCGGUACCCGCAGAAGAAGCACCGGCUAACUCCGUGCCAGGAGCCGCGGUAAUGC